rfam:Mitsuokella multacida DSM 20544 genomic scaffold Scfld0, whole genome shotgun sequence.
CCGUCUCGAUCUGCUGCGGACUGAUGAAAUGGAUGUGGGUAUCGAGUCCGCCUGGCGUCACGAUGAGUCCCUCAGCGGCCAGUGCUUCCGUCGAUGCACCGACUGUCAGUCCCGGCGUCACGCCUUCCAUGAUAUCGGGAUUGCCCGCCUUGCCAAGGCCGACAAUGCGGCCGUCCUUGAUGCCGAUAUCCGCCUUGACAAUCCCCUGCACAGGGUCCAUGACGAUGGCAUUCGUCAGGACGAGGUCCAGUGCACCACCAACGCUCGUGAUCUCCGAGGCCUGUCCCAUGCCGUCACGCAG